AUUAUCAUUUGUUUCAAGGUAGUUUUUAAUUUCCUUCUUAAUUUCCUCAUUGACCCAUUGGUUUUUUAGUAGCAUGUUGUUUAGUCUCCAUGUAGUAGGUUUUUUCUCUUUCCUUUUCCCAUGGUUAAUUUCUAAUUUCAUGGCAUUGUGGUCAGAGAAGAUACUUGAGAUAAUUUCUACGCUCCUAAAUUUAUUGAGAUUCGCUUUAUGUCCCAAUAUGUGGUCGAUUCUUGAGAAGGUUCCAUGAGCAUUUGAGAAGAAUGUGUAUUCUGAUUUUUUUGGAUGUAGUAUCCUGAAGAUGUCAAUUAAGUCUAACUUUUCUAUUGUUUCCUUUAGGAUCUCUGUUGCUUUAUUGGUUUUCUGUCUAGAGGAUCUGUCCAUUGAUGUGAGGGGGGUAUUUAGGUCUCCUACUAUGAUUGUAUUCUCAUCAAUAUCUCCCUUUAUGUCUGUUAAUAUUUGUUGUAUGUAUCUGGGUGCUCCUAUAUUUGGGGCAUAUAUGUUGAUGAUAGUAACAUCCUCUCCUUGGAUGGAUCCCUUAAUCAUUAAAUAGUGUCCUUCUUUGUCUUUCUUUAUGUCUUUUGUUUUAAAGUCUAUUUUGUCUGAUAUGAGCGUUGCAACUCCUGCUUUUCUGUCAUGUCUAUUGGCUUGAAAUAUUUUCCCCACCCUUUCACUUUCAAUCUAUAUGUAUCUUUUGUCCUAAGGUGAGUUUCUUGUAGGCAGCAUAUUGAAGGUUUUUGCCUUUUUAUCCACUCAGCCACUCUGUGUCUUUUGAUUGGGGCAUUCAGUCCAUUGACAUUUAAGGUGAUAAUUGAUAGAUGAUUAUUUAUUGCCAUUUGAACCUCGUGUUCCAGUUGAUUCUAUGGUUCUCCAUUCUUCCUUUCUUUUUUUUUUGGUUGGAUGGUCUCCUGUUGUUAUCUGCUUGAGUGUAUUUUUUUUUUUCAUUUUUUGCAAAUGCAAUAUUUGGUUUUGGCUUGUGGUUGCCCUGUUUUUUAAGUAUGCUAACCCCUUCCCGUAAUUGUGUGUUUUAGCCUGAUGGUCCUGUAAGUUCAAACACUUCAUUACUAUAUUAAAAUUAAGAAGAGAGACAUACAUAUAAACAAAAAGGGUUAUUUACCUCCUGACAUCCCUUGCCCACAUUUUAUGGUUUUGAUGACUCUUUUUUAUUUUUUUCUUUUUAAUUUUAUUUUGUUUGAAGCAUGUUCAUGAUUAAAUCUGUAUGCUGGCUUAUUUGAGUGACUGCUCUCUGAUUGCAGUUUCUUCAGUCCUAGUUCUUCCUCUUCUUCUUCUUUUUUUUUUUCUUUUCUUUUUUCUUCCCUUUCCUUCCUUUCUUUUUGGUUUAGAGAAGCCCUUUCAAUAUUUCCUUUAACCUGGGUUUUGUGUUGCUGUAUUCUUUAAGUUUUUGUUUGUUGGGAAAAAUUUUUAUUUCCCCUUCUAUUUUAAAUGAUAUUCUUGCUGGAUAGAGUAUUCUAGGUUGCAUAUUUUUUCCUUUGAGCACUUUAAAUAUCUCUUGCCAUUCCCUCCUGGCCUGUAGUGUUUCUGUAGAGAAAUCAGCUGAUAUUCUUAUGGGGGUUCCCUUGUAGGUAACAUUCUGCUUUUCUCUUACUGCCUUGAGGAUCCUCUCUUUAUCACUAACUUUUGCCAUUUUUAUUAUGAUGUGUCUUGGUGUGGGUCUGUUUGGGUUCAGUUUGUUUGGGGCCCUCUGUGCUUCUUGUAUCUUGAAUCCAGUAUCCUUUAGAUUUGGGAAGUUUCCAGCAAUAAUUUCUUCAAAUAUAUUUUCCAUUCCCUUAUCUUUUUCUACUCCUUCUGGAAUUCCUAUUAUGCGUAGAUUGGCCCGCUUUAUAUUAUCCCAUAGGUCUCUUAUAUUGCUUUCCAGUUUUUUGAUUCGGUUUUCUGUCUGUUGACCAGAUUGAGUGAUUUCCAUUAUUCUAUCUUCCAUAUCACUGAUUCGUUCUUCUACAUUAUUCAUUCUGGUUUUUACUGCCGCUAGUUCAGUUUGCAUCUCUGCAAAUGAACUAGUUUUUCUUGGCUCCUCCUUAUAUUUUCUAGUUCCUUUCUGAGGGUAUCUGCAUUACUAUUCAUAUCUUCUCUUAAUUCCUUCAGUAUUUUCACUAUUUCUCUUUUGAACUCCAGGUCUGUCUGACUGCAGAGAUCUGUUUCAUUGUUGACUGUUUUAGGUGAGUUCUCCUGUUGAUUUAACUGGGGGUGGUUUCUCAGCUUCUUCAUCUUGCUUGUUGUUUUCUUUCUCCUGAGGGAGUUCUACUCUCCGUGAUUGGGCAGUGUUUGCCUUGUCACUGCCGUGGAAUAUUUCCUGAGAGCUGGCGUUGUUGGUCAAUCUUUUUUGAGGCAGUGUGGCUUUUCUGGAGUGUUGAUGGGGCUAACAGUGUUUCUUUGAAGCAAAGGAGGACUUCCUGAGGGCAGACAGGACUGGGAGGUCCACACCACGAUGGUAGCAGAUUUCACUUGGUCAUGCAGAGCUUGCUCUGGUGUUUUUAGGCUGUGGGGUUCUUGCAGGGGGUUGGCGGUGUUGGGCAGCUGCUCUUCAGGGGUUGCUUUGUUUUAUUUCAGUGUUUGUGUCAGAAAAUUCUUCAGGUCUUCAAGGAUGUUGCAGUAUUUUUCUGGCUAUCAGUGGCUUGCUUGGAAAUUAUAGAUUAAUGGUAUGACUUGAAGAAAGCAGAACAUUUAUAUAUACAUUAGCACAUAUGCUUCCACUAACAGUUACUUGAGCAAACAUCUUCCUUACUUUCAUUGAGUAGUUGCCCUCCCAUGGUGAAUUAAGGUAAUCAAAGUUAGGAACCAGAAUGAUUCACACAUUCUUAGAAGUUGUGAUUGAUGUCAUGAGGCUUGUAGGAAUUAAGGGUACAGGCUGUACACUGUCUGUAACUAAACUAAAAAUGAGGAGUAUUGACAAAAUGUGAUAAGGCAAAAACCUUUUCUCCUAUUCCCAUAUUUUAAAGCAAUUCCUCGUUUAAGUAUUCUACUGCCAUCUAUCUACAUUUGUAAAUUUUUAGGUAGCAGUAUCAGAGGACAAAGACAGACAAGCCAAAAAUGACUUCUAUCACCAAUUUGAACUUAUUUUUUUUUCUUUUUAGUUCUGCAUCUGCAGCAUAUGGAAGUUCCAUGGCUAGGGGUUGAAUAGGAGCUGCAGCUGCCAGCCUAUGCCACAGCCACAGAACAUGGGAUCUGAGUCACAUCUGUGACCUAUGCCACAGUUGAUGGCAGUGCAGGAUCCUUAAUCCACUGAGCGAGGCCAGAGAUCAAACUCACAUCCUCACGGACACUACAUCAGGUUCUUAAGCUACUGAGCCACAUCUCCCUUAUUAUCUUAUACUUAGAAAUGUUUAACUUUCUAAAAGAUACAGCCCAUCUCAUGAGCAUUGAAUGGUGAUCAAAAAUGUCUACACCUUACUCUAAUAAAAUUUUCAUAUUGCCUAGAGAAAAAAAUAUGAAGGCUAGGUACUGUAAAGUAAGAAAGAAUAGCGCUGAUGAAUAGAUAAGGAGAUGUAUAAUCAAUUGAUGAAGAAGGAGUUUAUCCAAAUUUGAGGAAAUACGUUAAAAUGUUCAUUAAGUCUAUGUAAUCUGGAAAAUAUAUAUUGUAUUAAAUCAAAUAUCACUUCCUCUUUUUCUCCCCAAAUUAGUCGUCAAUAUUUGGAAUCAUCAUUGACAAAUGUCAGAUUCCAACUGGCCAUUAAUGUUGUGUAUCAUCUCUGCUUUUCCUUUGCAGGGAAUCCAAUCUCUAGGAUUUUCUCUCUAGGGAGAGAGAAAGAGAUGGGACCGUAGGGAAGUUCAAAGACAGGCUUGGGGGGUCGUUAUCCCAUUGUUUAGUAUUGUGCAAAUACUUCUCUCAAAAGGUAUUAAGGCAGAGAAAUGAUCUGAGAAAGUAUAAAGUUAAUGCAAUCCUCUUAAAACCAUUACAUAUCUUUAGAGGGCUAAAAAUACGUAGGCUCUAGUCACGUAAAAACAGAUUCACUCAAGUGUUUAAUGUAAAUGCAUGAGACAUGGGCUGUGAAGCCAAUUCAUCUGAAGGAUACAGACUUAGAAUGAAUUGAUGUCCCAAAUGU
rnacentral:lncRNA from 1 species